UCGGCCUUCUUAGCCGAUAGUGUCAAAAAUUGUGGCGAGAAAGAGUCACAAAUUCAGAAUGCAAUGCCGGCCUUUCGGGCAACCAAUGCAUGGGGAAAAAAAAUCCUACUCGCCGGCGGCGCUCCUCCCCCCCAAUAUCCCAACCUCCUACUCGCCGGCGGUUCACGUCUCUCAUUCGGAAUCGGGUAGAGUUCCUCCGUUGCCACCAUUGAUUCCGGAUCCGAAGAGAUAUCGCUGUCGAUGCCGAUGGCUCUAUUUAAUCGCGGCCGCGGGAGCGACAUCUACUCGCUUUUCGAUUCGUCGCGCAGGCGCCGGUGGAGGCACCUUGCUGAUGGCCCGGAUCAGGACGGAUCGACCCCUGCGCCGGCGGCCGCGGCCGGCCCGCGGCGACGACCGGGUGAGCGCCCUCCCCGACGACCUCCUGCUCCUCGUCCUGCGCCGUCUCGACACCCGCACGGCGCUCGGCACCGGCCUGCUGUCCAGGCGCUGGGGCCGCCUCCAGCGCGAGCUCCCGGCCCUCGAUUUCCGGGUCAGCAACAUGCUCCCACCGCGCUACCAUGGCCUGGUGUUUCUUCACCACGACAAGAACAGGAAUGGAUCUCAUCGUCUAUUUAAAAAGUUCGCCUUUAUGCCAAACAUUAUGAGGUAUGAGCGCCGCGCCAUGCGCGCAUUGACCAGCUCCGUCGAGAGCUUCUUGGAUGAGGAUGGCGCUCGAGGAGCUGGCCCGAGCUUGAGCAGGCUGAGGCUCGAGUUCUUCAUCACUCACAACACCGGCUGCAUGAACAGGCUAAUCGCCAAGUGCAUCGACCAUUGGGGGGUCAGGGACCUCGAAGCUGUUGCCAGACCGAUCUACUUCCGGCAAUCCGUCCACACCUUCCCCAGCUACGGCCUCUGCCAGGAGCCUCGCGCUUCGUCCUUGCGAAGCCUCAAGCUUGGAGGCUGCACGCUCCCGCCUCUGCACGAGUUCAGCUUCGAACAGAAAAAGCUAACUGGUGUGGGGAUACAGCAAAAAACAAAGGACAGAUGCCUUGACGCCAACACCGGCGCCGCCGACUCUGCUUCACGCGCGUCUAAAAGUUUCCGAGUUGCAAGUUAGGAAACAGGACCGUGCUUAUACUACCGGCAUGUGGGAGUUCUUUCUUGACCCAUCCGCUCUCUAGAGCGAGACGCUGGGCGAGUUUGGUUGCUUGCAUCAAGGCCAAUCAAGGCCGCGCGGUGCAGCAUUUUUUUCGGACCUCGAUUGUUUGGUUCCUCGCAUAUAUUUUUGAGCCCGCAUAACAUGGUUCUUAAAGCAACUCUGAACCUGGCCCGUUGUGAACGGUCGAAUCGGCAGUUUCCCGAAAGCCAGGCCCGAGAGACGCUUCGAGGCGCACGUGGGUGGCUCUCUGGAGACGUGUGUCUCGAGUUAAUCCCUCCCUCUCUCCCUAAUCCUCAAUCCGACUCUGCAGCUCCUUGACGCUGUCGCGCCCUCGCUGGAGCGGUCGAGCCGGCCCCGCCCCUCGCCGCCAAGCCGUCUCCACGACCGACGAAGUGGCCUCCGCUGAAUCGGCCUCUACCUCGCGCCGUUUGUACCACAAGCUGCGCCUCACCGCCGCAGGCUUGCCUCUGUCGUGCCCUCAACUCGCCGGCUACGCCGCCUCAGGCCGGCCACGCCGCUUCAGCCGCCGACCCGAGCCAGUCGCGAGCCGCUCGGCCAGCCGCCGCCGCUGCGGCUUUACCUCCGCGCCCACCGAGUGACCUCUUUGUGGCCGCGCUGCUGGGGCAAGAGGCCGGCCGACCCGGACCGCGCGAGGCGGCUCGCCCGCUCCGCUGGUGCCCCUCUUCGAUCGGUUUUGUGCCAAGCAGUUGAUCCUAGAGUUCUUGGACGAGGUCGUCAAGACGCCCACCAUGCUUGCUGGCAACUCUGUGGGCAGCCUUGCUUGUGUCAUUGCCACCUCGGCUGACAACUCUGUGGGAACCCGGUCUUCUUCGUCACCGACGACCGCGUCCUCCGCUGCGGCGUCGGCGUCGUCUACUUCUUCACCCGGGAGUCCUCCUUCCAGCCGAUGGACAUCUCAUACCCGUUCGCCGCGAUGACCUCUUCCGGCACGGGCACGCCGUGCUCGCGCCGGCCAGGCCCCGCGCUGGAUCCAGUUCUGGAGCGACACCGCCUCCGACAGGCGCCGCCGCGACUCAUCGUCCUCCGAAGCCUCCACCGCAACACAUCCUCGUCAGGCUACUGCUCGCCACCUCAGAGGUCGAUGCCGCGCUGGGUCGACAACUACCUGGACAAGCUCGGAUCAGUGCUCAAGAAAGGUGGCUGGAGGGACAGGGAGGUGGACGAGAUGGUCGAGGUGGCCGCCUCGGGAAUGUUCGACGGCGAGGAGGCUCCGCCAGCCGCAGACGCGGAGGCCGUGCUCGACACACUGCUGCUGAAGACAGACCGGUGCUCAGAGUCCCUCAGGCGAGCCGGGCGCGGCCACGGCCACGGUCACCGGGAGCUGGUGGUGGGCACGAUGGGCAGUGGAAGCUCCGGCGCGCUCAAAGUGUUCAACGACACGAGAUGCCAAACCUGAUGGGUGUUAAGCUUUGUUGUUAACUCUUAAUCAUAUGCACGUACGCAACCAAACACCUGAAAAUUGCAUCUCGAUGACAAGACCCCUAAUGCAGGCAACCAAUCAACUGGCCAUCUACGUUUUUGGCCCUGUUUUUUCCUUAACCAGGCCCUGCUCGGUCAUCUGGCUCGUUUGUUGCUCUCCUAGCCAUGCCCGUUGGAGAAACUAACCAAAUACGCCCGCUGUGUUUGUUCUGCACUUCUGCUAGGCAGAGUAUGCUUCUGCUGCAGAUAAACGACAGGAAUACUGGUUCAUUCGGGUAAACAUUGCUAGACAUGCUUGGUACCGACCACGGGCUGCUUCACUGAAACAAGGGCAAUGCGCAGCGGCACUUGACGGUGUCAAAU